rnacentral:rRNA from 1 species
CUGAACCAGCAACUUGGAAGAAUGUAUUAUUUGAACUAUGUUCUAUAAAAUUCUGGGUAGAAAAAUGAUACUGACAUUUUCUAUUUAUAAGUCUUGACAAAGUCACGUGCCAGCAGUCGCGGUAAUACGUGGAAGACUAGUGUUAUUCAUCUUUAUUCGGUUUAAAGGGUACCUAGACGGUUAAUUAAGCCUAUAAAGGUACUAAUUGGCUUGAGUUUUAUGUGGAUCGAAGGAUAAGUAAUAGUCAUAUCCUGUGGGAUGGAUAUGACAGGAUAUUAUAAUAUAAUAUCAUGUUGCUUAUUUGGUAUGUAGUAAUUUGAGGGUAGAGAUAAAAUUUGUUGAUCCCAUUUAGACUGAUAAUAGCGUAAGCUACCUUUCAUGUAAAAACUGACGUUGAGGGACGAAGGCUAUACGUUGCGAACAGGAUUAGUUACCCUAGUAGUGUAAGCAGAGAAUGAUGAAUGUCAUUUAUAAGAAUUAUAGAUUUUUAUAUAUAAACGAAAGUGUAAGCAUUCCACCUUAAGAGUAAUGUGGCAACGCAGGAACUGAAAUCACUAGACCGUAUCUGAAACCAGUAGUGAAGUAUGUUGUUUAAUUUGACGAUCCACGGAAAACCUUACCACAAUUUGAAUAUAAAUAUAAAUGUAUUUAUACAGGAGUUGCAUGGCUGUCUUCAGUUGAUGUCGUGAGAUUUUGGUUAGUUCCAGUAAAUCAACGUAAACCCUUAUUUUAUUUAAUAUAAAAUAGUUCGCUGCUAUAUUGGUUGUGAUAACAGGGACCAAGACAAGUCAACAUGACCCUAACAUUGUGGGCUAUAGACGUGCCACGUAUUCCUAUACAAAAAGAUG